rnacentral:rRNA from 1 species
AGAGUUUGAUCAUGGCUCAGGACGAACGCUGGCGGCACGCUUAACACAUGCAAGUCGAACGAGAGAAGAGGAGCUUGCUUUUCUGAUCUAGUGGCGGACGGGUGAGUAACACGUGAGCAAUCUGCCUUUCAGAGGGGGAUACCGAUUGGAAACGAUCGUUAAUACCGCAUAACAUAAUUGAACCGCAUGAUUUGAUUAUCAAAGAUUUAUCGCUGAAAGAUGAGCUCGCGUCUGAUUAGCUAGUUGGUAAGGUAACGGCUUACCAAGGCGACGAUCAGUAGCCGGACUGAGAGGUUGAUCGGCCACAUUGGGACUGAGACACGUCCCAGACUCCUACGGGAGGCAGCAGUGGGGAAUAUUGCACAAUGGAGGAAACUCUGAUGCAGCGAUGCCGCGUGAGGGAAGAAGGUUUUAGGAUUGUAAACCUCUGUCUUCAGGGACGAAAAAAGACGGUACCUGAGGAGGAAGCUCCGGCUAACUACGUGCCAGCAGCCGCGGUAAUACGUAGGGAGCGAGCGUUGUCCGGAAUUACUGGGUGUAAAGGGAGCGUAGGCGGGAUCGCAAGUCAGAUGUGAAAACUAUGGGCUUAACCCAUAAACUGCAUUUGAAACUGUGGUUCUUGAGUGAAGUAGAGGUAAGCGGAAUUCCUAGUGUAGCGGUGAAAUGCGUAGAUAUUAGGAGGAACAUCAGUGGCGAAGGCGGCUUACUGGGCUUUAACUGACGCUGAGGCUCGAAAGCGUGGGGAGCAAACAGGAUUAGAUACCCUGGUAGUCCACGCCGUAAACGAUGAUUACUAGGUGUGGGGGGACUGACCCCUUCCGUGCCGCAGCAAACGCAAUAAGUAAUCCACCUGGGGAGUACGACCGCAAGGUUGAAACUCAAAGGAAUUGACGGGGGCCCGCACAAGCAGUGGAGUAUGUGGAUUAAUUCGAAGCAACGCGAAGAACCUUACCAGGUCUUGACAUCGUAUGCAUAGCUCAGAGAUGAGUGAAAUCUCUUCGGAGACAUAUAGACAGGUGGUGCAUGGUUGUCGUCAGCUCGUGUCGUGAGAUGUUGGGUUAAGUCCCGCAACGAGCGCAACCCUUACUGUUAGUUGCUACGCAAGAGCACUCUAGCAGGACUGCCGUUGACAAAACGGAGGAAGGUGGGGAUGACGUCAAAUCAUCAUGCCCCUUAUGACCUGGGCCUCACACGUACUACAAUGGCUGUCAACAGAGGGAAGCAAAGCCGCGAGGUGGAGCGAACCCCUAAAAGCAGUCUUAGUUCGGAUUGUAGGCUGCAACCCGCCUACAUGAAGUCGGAAUUGCUAGUAAUCGCAGAUCAGCAUGCUGCGGUGAAUACGUUCCCGGGCCUUGUACACACCGCCCGUCACGCCAUGGGAGUCGGUAACACCCGAAGCCUGUAGUCUAACCGCAAGGAGGACGCAGUCGAAGGUGGGAUUGAUGACUGGGGUGAAGUCGUAACAAGGUA